rnacentral:lncRNA from 1 species
GCAUCAUUUAGCUAGAGAUGGAUUGGUGAGGCGGAGGAUGGCUGAGUUUAGACAGCUGAUGUGGUUCACGCAUCAGAUCAGUCAGGAGCUGGGAGCACAGGCACUGGCUAAAGACCAUGACAAGAGGUUAAGGGUAAAGGCUUUCAACUCAGAGACGGACAACUUCAAGCUGCCGUACGGGGGCCACCAGUACCACGCCAGCUGUGCCAAUUUCUGGAUUAACUGCGUGGAGCCCAAACCGCCGGGCCUCAUUCUGCCCGACCUGCUCUGAACUGCAGACAACCGCUGCCAUGGCAACGGGCGCCAGGUAAUCAACACCGGCGAGGUGCAACAGCCGGGCUCCCCACCGCACACCUCACACCUUGGGCUGCGAAUACAGAGAUCACAGAGAGACCUCAGAAGUCACUGGAAUCAUCUUUAUUUAUUUGCCUUUUAUUCUCUCUCUUUCUCUCUCAGAGGUACUCUGUGCUCUUUGCAGCGGUGAAGAAGUGCAAAUCUGCUAGUUUGUACAAAUUCAAGGCUUGACACAGUAAAGACUAUUCUGUAUCAUAAUGUAUUGUAAAAUUAUACUUUAUAAAUGGUGUCAUUUUCUCAUUUUUCCUUCUUUUUUUUCCAUUGUCUGGUCUCAUAUACAGUAUAAUGCAAUAGAAGUUACAAGUUGGCAUUUUAGCAUUGAUGCUUAUGCGACUUCUCUGGCAGGAUUUAUUUUGGCAAACAUUAUUCAGAUAAUGAACCAAUGUUGUGCUACGGUAACCCAGAGGAGGUCUAGUCCCUAUGUCAGAGCAGGGGAAAAUGUGGACACUUAUAUGAAUGGGGUAAUGGGUCUCAACGUUUUCUGUAAUGCACUCUUUCUGUGACUCAACAAGUCCAUAACAAACUAUUAAAACUGUGCAAUAUACUACUAAUGAAGGAACUUGGAGACAAACUGAAGUGUAAAGUUAUCUGUCGUUUCCCUUGAUUGUCACUUGUUGCUUUGUUACUGUUUAAUGCUUGAGGGACUGUGUUGGUGUUUCGGUCUUAAAGUAGUAUUUUGUCCUUUGUUCUUCUCGAGUCGGGGUUGUGGUAUCAUCACACUGCUGGAACUGAAUCAAUUUUACGGUCGGGUCUCUAAAAGGAUAGUCUAUGGUUGCUAACAUUUUAAUUCAUAUUUAACUUUUUAGGUAUUGUGUGACAUUAACUGCUUUUUAAUGUCUUUGUAUUGUUUGAAAAGGAUUGCUUUAUCUAAAUGAAUGUUAAUGUGCUGUUUGAAUUUUUUUGUGACAUUGGGACUUGAAAGGGAGUCUUAAUUCUUAAAGAUUGUUGGCUGUGGGUUUUGUUUUUCUGUCUUGCUGUGCCAGUGUAUAUAUACUCACACUGAUGGGGAUGUUUUGGCAGAUCUAAGUCUUGAAUGAAGUCAACUAUGAUUAUGGACUACUAUUGCAGCAGCACUUUGUGUGGAUUACAGUAUCAUAGUGUUGUAAUUACAAUGACUAACUGUAAUGUGAAGUGAUGACAUAUACAUAAAUAAUACAUUGAUGCAUAAAUUAAAUACAUUUCAUGGUCAUUAAUCAAUUAAUCAAUGAAUGUAUUACCUGGAAGCCUAUUACCAUACACAUUAAUUAAGAGUAUUGUACAAUUCUGCUGAAUUUGGUUUUGUUUUCAAUAUUUUCUGAAUAUAAUCAAGGUUGGUUUGAAUGUCAACAUGAAUCCUGAAGGCAUUCUAUUGUCUCAAUAGCACGAGUCGUUUAAUCUGGAUGACAUCUGUAACAAAGUCAGGUUCAGAGUCUAAUGCAGCAAUAUCAUAUUAGCACUACUUCUCCUAAAAUGCCAAAUGGUUUGAGAUUGUCACGUCUUUCAUUUUUCACUCAAUAACAUGUUAUUUCUCAGACCAGGGAGGUUUCAUCUCUAUCACUUUGUGACCAAAUGAAAUACAUUAACCUCAGACAAGCCUGCUGGGCCAUCGCUGGAGGACGGAGAGCUAAGACAAUCAAAUGAAAAACAUGCCUGUAGUGGCACCAUGCAUGGAACCAGUCUCAUUAUCAUUCUGUCUCGUGUGUACAGGACAGGUGUGUGUGUUCUCCAACAUACAUUUUUAUCUCUCACCAUUCCCUAAUUGAACAUCCUGCUGAAAAUGAAUUCCUCUCUCCGUCUUCUCACCGUGAGCUGCC